rfam:Trichobilharzia regenti genome assembly, scaffold: TRE_scaffold0051356
AUCCAGCUGACGAGUCCCAAAUAGGACCAAAUGCUUAUUCUGGAU